rnacentral:tRNA from 1 species
GGAAAGAUGGCUCAAUUGGUAGAGUGCUUGUCUCAUAAGCAUGAGGCCCUGAGUUCGAUUCCCAGUGUCCA